ensembl:snRNA U1 U1 spliceosomal RNA
AAAGGGGGGGGGGGGGGGGUAAAGGGGAGACACUGUGAUCAACUUCAGGGCGAGGCUCAGCCAUUGCACUCCGGCUGUCGGACCCAUGCAAAUUCCCCAAAUGUGGGAAUCUCGACUACAUCAUUUCUGGUAGUGGGGGACUCCCCUG